UACGUAGGGGGCUAGCGUUGUCCGGAUUUAUUGGGCGUAAAGAGCGUGUAGGCGGCCAGGUAGGUCUGGUGUGAAAACUCGAGGCUUAACCUCGAGAUGUCAUCGGAAACCAUCUGGCUAGAGUCCGGGAGAGGAGAGUGGAAUUCCUGGUGUAGCGGUGAAAUGCGCAGAUAUCAGGAAGAACACCCGUGGCGAAAGCGGCUCUCUGGAACGGUACUGACGCUGAGACGCGAAAGCGUGGGGAGCAAACAGG
rnacentral:rRNA from 1 species